UUCACCAGUAAAUAUAUAUUCUAACGCAAGAGGCGUGGUGACACGCGUAAACAUAAGAAAAACAUGGAACCACUAUGGGCGGAAAACUCUACUCACCAACACAGCUGCAUUCAUAGGAAAUCAAAUCCGAGAUUUUGCUCAGGUUAGAACAACUCGGUGUCAGUUGAUAUAUGCACUUGGUGGUUGCAGAAUCAAUUCUGAGAAUCAGCUUCUGGGUCCAGAAUCGGUUCUGAUAAUAGAGAAGCUGAUUAAAACAUGUUAUGAAUAGAUGAGGUAUGAGGGUACACAAAGAUAAAAGUAAAACAAGGUUCCACUGCAAUAAAUGAAUGUGAAUAACCAGUCGUGUGUUUUUGGGUAUCUCUAUCUCAAUUGUGACAUAUACUUGCAGUUUUCUGAUUGUAGUGUCUCUAGAAAAGAGGACCUACCUCAUAAAUAACUAUUAUAUACUUGGGAUGAACUGUGGUCAGCUUUAAUUCUGUCCAAACAUUAAACAAACACCAAAUAGCACCUCAUGAGUCCUUCUGCAGUUCCGUUUAAGACUGCAACUCAUAAAAAUGGUUAAAGAUGAUUAUUCUCGGGCUCUGUCUGUUUAAUUACUGAAGCAAAGAGUUAAGCCCUCUUUUCUAGUCAUAUUGAGAUUAUAAGAUUUCUUAUUUACUUCUAACAUUUGAUUCAGUGGUUUUAAGUGCAAAUUAAAACACAUCACAUUUUACUCUGCUGAUAAAUACAGUUCAUUUCCCAAGGCAGAUAAUUUUCUGAAAUUCAUAGUUUACUGAUAGCCCACUCAAGUAUUUCCUAUUGAGUAGAUUUUGGGUUAAUUUCACUGGCACUAUUAUGUGUUCCACCAUUCACACCUUUCAGAGGAAAGCUAGAUUGCUAUAAGAUAUCAUCUUGCUAUCAUGAGCUCUAAAUUUCCUGUCUCAUUAUGAUACUAUUUCCAACUUCCAAGGUUAUCUACUGCUUGGAUCUUUGCAUGAUGAUGGUUAAAAAGUGGAUUUUGGUGGACCUGCUCAAUCUGAUUAAGAAAAGGGUUGGUUUCUGUGUUGCACAGUUGCAGCAUUCAAGUCUUCUCAUUAUCUUCGCUGUCUUCACUAUUUUUUGAUGUCUUUAUAAGCAUGACUUUUAAUCCAUGAACCAACUAUAUUUUAAUUUUCUGUUUUCUGUGCAUUCUUUUUAGUCCAUGUUGUUUAUGAUGCAUAUGACUUGGAAGUAUAGGUGUGGUUUCAUUGCAGUAGUAAGUUCCAGAAAAUAUAUGGAGUUAAUGGUUGCGUUUGGUGUUGGAUUGUUCCGAACAAAUGUGCUUUAACCCCAUCUCAGUGUGUUUGGUAGUGUAUGGUCGUUGGUUUCUAAUGACUUAAAAUUGUUACCGAUUGUUGAUAAGGAUUUAGAUUUGAAUAUUGGCUUGAGGAAUUAUUAUUGCACUCAUAAUUUAAUAGUUUCUGUUUUUAUAUACCAAGCGGGAUAAAACAAAAUAUAUAAUCUUGAUUUGUAAUCAUUCUACUGUGCUUGGGUUAAGGACGUAUCUCUAUGGAUUUAAAGGUGACUUAUCGACUUAUUUUAACUUAUGGAAAAAAUUCAAUUAAGGGGAAUAUAUCUCUAUGGUGAUUCACUUAUUGUGUACUUAUCUCUCUCUGUAUUUAGUCUUCUGGAACUUCUACAACCACUUCUUUUUCCUCUGUCACAUGUUCAGUUUAUUGGUUAAUGUAGUUUUCCUUAUUCCUUUUUCCUCUUCAAAAGAACAUGGAAGUGAUAAUAAAUGCAAUGGUGACAUGAAAUAGACUUGGUCUGCAGUGGUUGAGCUAAGCUUGAUAUUGCAAGAUGUUAGAAUUCUAGGAUUCCAAUUCUUAUGUUUUAACUACUAAAUUUAAGCCUUUGAAAGUUGGCAAGCUAUAGCAAUCAAGAAGAGGUAUUCUUGUGGUAGAGUUAUAUAGCUGACCUCUUAUAUAUUGAACUCUUUUCUCUUCCUCCUUUUGGUUAUUUUCUUUAAAUGAUGAUGUUUCCAUGAAAUUAAGCUCAAUUAUUAAAGACCGCAUUUAGAAUGAUGAGGACAUGAGAGUUUUAGUAUCUAAGCUUUCAUCUCCUAUUUCAUCUCAACUCCUUCAACAGCAUCUGAAUGUAUUUUUUCCUAUCUUUUAUUUUAAUUGUUUUCUGAGCUUAGGAUGGUUAAUUACUUUUCUGUUCUAUUUCAGGGAACUCUUCUCAGACCUUGGUGGAUUUAACUUGUGGUUCUCUUUUCACAAUGAACCUUGUGCAAUUGGUCUCCAAGAAGCACUUGGAUAUUGAAAAGGAAGAAGAUGACAAGAUGUAUCUAUUAUGGAGAAUGGGAGCACGAGUCUGUUUGGCUUAUGUACGGAGGGAAGAUGUAUUGCGGUGUGGUGGCACUGGAAUGUCGAUGAUGGAGAAAGUGAGCCAUUUUUAUCCCUUCUUUGUAAGUAGUGUAAACAUGAAACCAAAUCUAGGGAAAAGAGUAGCAUAUCAUUUGUUGAUGACCUUUGAUUGGUGGUCUUAGCUAACAUGGAAUUUAAUUUAGAACUUUAUUUGUGGGCUUCUAUUACCCAUCUACUGUGUAUGUGAGUGUGAAAUAGAAGGCAUAAGAGCAUGCCAUGGACAUCCAAGCUGGUUUGUUUCUUGGGGGGCUUUUUCAAAUUGCACAUUGCACAAUUACUCAACAUAAAUAUUAUAGCAUAUUACUGUUAAGGGGUCUUAUAAAUGGGGACGGAGGGAGAACUUUGUAGAGAAAAUCAACUUAUCAUUUUCAUUCUUAUUAAGAGUAUAUUCUCUGUUUCAUAUGCUUCAUAUGAUGAAUAUUUAUCACUGAUCUCUAUUUUUUUCUUUCAAUAGGGGGAUACCAGCAGAGGUUGCACCAUUUGUUCGUAAGCAUGGGAAAGCUCCAUGGACCUUAAUGGGCACAUAUGGAAAAAAGACUCUCAGAUACUUGCACCUGAAAAACCCAAGAAAGUAGCAAAGUUUGGAUCUGGCUGCAAACAAUUCUGCAGAGAACUAAUUAAAGCAACUCAUUACUUGUGGUUCAGGUUCACAGG
rnacentral:lncRNA from 1 species